rnacentral:rRNA from 1 species
GAUGAACGCUGGCGGCGUGCCUAAUACAUGCAGGUCGAGCGAACAGACGAGGAGCUUGCUCCUCUGACGUUAGCGGCGGACGGGUGAGUAACACGUGGAUAACCUACCUAUAAGACUAGGAUAACUUCGGGAAACCGGAGCUAAUACCGGAUAAUAUAUUGAACCGCAUGGUUCAAUAGUGAAAGACGGUUUUGCUGUCACUUAUAGAUGGAUCCGCGCCGCAUUAGCUAGUUGGUAAGGUAACGGCUUACCAAGGCAACGAUGCGUAGCCGACCUGAGAGGGUGAUCGGCCACACUGGAACUGAGACACGGUCCAGACUCCUACGGGAGGCAGCAGUAGGGAAUCUUCCGCAAUGGGCGAAAGCCUGACGGAGCAACGCCGCGUGAGUGAUGAAGGUCUUCGGAUCGUAAAACUCUGUUAUUAGGGAAGAACAAAUGUGUAAGUAACUAUGCACGUCUUGACGGUACCUAAUCAGAAAGCCACGGCUAACUACGUG